AAUCUCGUGCCAGCCACCGCGGUUAUACGAGGAACUCAUAUUAAUAUUCACGGCCCAAAGGGUAGUUUAAGAUUAAAUAAAAUAGAAUUUAAAACUUAUCUAGUAGUUAUAUACAAACAUAAAAUGUAAAAUCAAAAACGAAAGUUAUACUAUAUAUUCUUGAAUCCACUAUAGCUGAGAAACAAACUAGGAUUAGAUACCCCACUAUGCUCAACUUUAAAAUGGACCCUCCCGCCAGAGCACUACGAGCCACAGCUUAAAACUCAAAGGACUUGGCGGUGCUCUACACCCACCUAGAGGAGCCUGUUCUAUAAUCGACACCCCCCGAUAAACCUCACCACCUCUUGCUAAUACAGUCUAUAUACCACCGCCCUCAGUUCACCCUUCAAAAGAAUAAAAGUGAACAAAAUAAUUUAAAAUAAAAAAGUCAGGUCAAGGUGCAGCAAAUGAAGUGGGAAGAAAUGGGCUACAUUUUUUAUAAUAAAAAAUACGGAAUAUUUUAUGAAAUAAAAUAUAAAGGAGGAUUUAGAAGUAAAAAGAAAAAAGAGCGUUCUUUUUAAAUUGGCAAUAGAGCACGCACACACCGCCCGUCACCCUCUUCAAAAUCAAAUAAAUUAAAUAAAUAUAUAAAUUUACAAGAAAAGGUAAGUCGUAACAUGGUAAGUCUACCGGAAGGUGGCCUUGGACAU
rnacentral:rRNA from 1 species